AUUGAACGCUGGCGGCAGGCUUAACACAUGCAAGUCGAGCGGGGUGAUGGUGCUUGCACUAUCACUUAGCGGCGGACGGGUGAGUAAUGCUUAGGAAUCUGCCUAUUAGUGGGGGACAACAUCUCGAAAGGGAUGCUAAUACCGCAUACGUCCUACGGGAGAAAGCAGGGGAUCACUUGUCACCUUGCGCUAAUAGAUGAGCCUAAGUCGGAUUAGCUCGUUGGUGGGGUAAAGGCCUACCAAGGCGACGAUCUGUAGCGGGUCUGAGAGGAUGAUCCGCCACACUGGGACUGAGACACGGCCCAGACUCCUACGGGAGGCAGCAGUGGGGAAUAUUGGACAAUGGGGGGAACCAUGAUCCAGCCAUGCCGCGUGUGUGAAGAAGGCCUUAUGGUUGUAAAGCACUGUAAGCGAGGAGGAGGCUCUUUUGGUUAAUACCCAAGAUGAGUGGACGUUACUCGCAGAAUAAGCACCGGCUAACUCUGUGCCAGCCGCCGCCGUAA
rnacentral:rRNA from 1 species